UUAAGUCCGUACGAGCGCAACCCUGUCCUAGUUACCAGCACGUUAUGGUGGGCACUCUAAGGAGGACUGCCGGUGACAACCGGAGGAAGGUGGGGAUGACGUCAAGUCAUCAUGGCCCUUACGGCCUGGGCUAUACACGUGCUACAAUGGUCGGUACAAAGGGUUGCCAAGCCGCGAGGUGGAGCUAAUCCCAUAAAACCGAUCGUAGUCCGGAUCGCAGUCUGCAACUCGACUGCGUGAAGUCGGAAUCGCUAGUAAUCGUGAAUCAGAAUGUCACGGUGAAUACGUUCCCGGGCCUU
rnacentral:rRNA from 1 species